CAGUAGGGAAUCUUCCGCAAUGGACGAAAGUCUGACGGAGCAACGCCGCGUGAGUGAUGAAGGUUUUCGGAUCGUAAAGCUCUGUUGUUAGGGAAGAACAAGUGCGAGAGUAACUGCUCGCACCUUGACGGUACCUAACCAGAAAGCCACGGCUAACUACGUGCCAGCAGCCGCGGUAAUACGUAGGUGGCAAGCGUUGUCCGGAAUUAUUGGGCGUAAAGGGCUCGCAGGCGGUUUCUUAAGUCUGAUGUGAAAGCCCCCGGCUCAACCGGGGAGGGUCAUUGGAAACUGGGAAACUUGAGUGCAGAAGAGGAGAGUGGAAUUCCACGUGUAGCGGUGAAAUGCGUAGAGAUGUGGAGGAACACCAGUGGCGAAGGCGACUCUCUGGUCUGUAACUGACGCUGAGGAGCGAAAGCGUGGGGAGCGAACAGGAUUAGAUACCCUGGUAGUCCACGCCGUAAACGAUGAGUGCUAAGUGUUAGGGGGUUUCCGCCCCUUAGUGCUGCAGCUAACGCAUUAAGCACUCCGCCUGGGGAGUACGGUCGCAAGACUGAAACUCAAAGGAAUUGACGGGGGCCCGCACAAGCGGUGGAGCAUGUGGUUUAAUUCGAAGCAACGCGAAGAACCUUACCAGGUCUUGACAUCCUCUGACAACCCUAGAGAUAGGGCUUUCCCUUCGGGGACAGAGUGACAGGUGGUGCAUGGUUGUCG
rnacentral:rRNA from 2 species